rnacentral:rRNA from 1 species
UACGAAGGGUGCUAGCGUUGCUCGGAAUUACUGGGCGUAAAGCGCACGUAGGCGGCUCUUUAAGUCGGAGGUGAAAUCCUGGAGCUCAACUCCAGAACUGCCUUCGAUACUGAAGAGCUCGAGUCCGGGAGAGGUGAGUGGAACUGCGAGUGUAGAGGUGAAAUUCGUAGAUAUUCGCAAGAACACCAGUGGCGAAGGCGGCUCACUGGCCCGGUACUGACGCUGAGGUGCGAAAGCGUGGGGAGCAAACAGG